AUCCUGCUGCCAUCUAGGGAUGAGAUGAAGCGUCUUCCCGCUUGCAGCCGCCCUGAUGGAUCACUGGGGCCUCUGCGCUCCUGUCCUUUAGCCGCGGUCCGGGCGGCUCUGCAAGUGCAGCGCGCGGUGCCCCCAGCGCAGCCCCCAAUACCCCCUGUUCUGCCGCGGGGUACCCCGCCGAAGCCAUCCGGGGUCGAUACUCUGGCGCGGUGGAAACCGCAGAGCAAAAGGAAACAGACAAAAACAGUGAGAAGAUGGGGUUUCAUCAUGUUGACCAGGCUGGUCUCAAACUCCUAACCUCCAGUGAUCCAUCUGCCUCAGCCUCCCAGAGUGCUGGGUUUACAGGCAUGAUCCACUGUGCCCAGUCCAGCAAGUGCUAUUUCACCUGUAAAUCUGCAUCCUGUUAGAAACCAAGCAACUGAACUGGCAACGCGAUGGGAAAGGGACACCCUUCCCCGCUUCACCACAGGAUGAUACUCAGCCUUGGCCCUUGGAGAGCUGCCUCGUGAUGCAGAAUCUCAGGAGGGUAUCAGGAAAACACUGGGGCCAAGCAGUGCCUGGAGGCUUGACACUGGAUACCGAGAGAAGAAAGAUGGCAGGGUGCACUGCAAAGCCUAGAGUAGAAUGGCCGCAUCACCAUUAUGUCAAGAGGAGUGGUGGCUUCUGAAACAAAGUCGUUCGGCCUCAUAGAACAUCAGGAGAGAACAUGGUCAGUAGGGCAGGCCUAGGCUUUGUUUGGCCAGGCAUGGAGGACACCUUGAAUGUUGACUUUUAACUGAGCAUCUGUGGAUCACUCUAAAGCAACUACCAGAAAGUUUUGACAGUGAGAUUUGUUUAAAGAAUUAGGUUUUUGCGAGCAGAUAAGGCAACAAUUAUUUUAAUUUGAUAAAAUUGGUAUUAUAUUCUCAAUAUAUUUUAAACUGUGUGUGUGUGUGUGUGUGUGUGUGUGUGUGUGUGUAUUUUCAAGAUAGAGUCUCAUUGUGUUAUCCAGUCUGACAUGGACUGACUAUUCACAGAUAAAAUCAUGGCACACUGUGGCCUCAAACUCCUGGCCACAAGUGAUCCUCCCACUCCAGCCUCCUGAUUAGCUAGGACCACAGGCACACAGCCAUCAUGCCUGACUUAUAACACAUUUUAAAAACUAGCUCUUUACCAUGAACAUUGUCUUAUGCCCAUAGCUAGUCACAAAACAUAAUAAUUGUUAGUGGCUGCACAGUAUCAAGUUACAAUGUACCAGAAUGGAUUUAAUCAGUUUCCCAUUAUGUGACUGUGAUAUGUUGAAUAUGACCCCUACCACAGUUUAUAUGUUGAAAUCGUAAUCUCAGUAUAUCAGAAUGUGAUGGUAUUUGGAAAUAGGUCUUUAAAGAGAAAAUUACUUUAAAAAGGAGAACAUUAGGGUGGACUUUAAUUUAAUGUGAUUGGUGUCUUUAUAAGAAGAUAGGACACAAGGCCGGGCGCGGUGGCUCAAGCCUGUAAUCCCAGCACUUUGGGAGGCCGAGAUGGGUGGAUCACGAGGUCGAGAGAUCGAGACCAUCCUGGUCAACAUGGUGAAACCCCGUCUCUACUAAAAAUACAAAAAAUUAGCUGGGCAUGGUGGCGCGUGCCUGUAAUCCCAGCUACUUGGGAGGCUGAGGCAGGAGAAUUGCCUGAACCCAGGAGGCGGAGGUUGCAAUGAGCCAAGAUCGCGCCAUUGCACUCAAGCCUGGGUAACAAGAGCAAAACUCCGUCUCAAAAAAAAAAAGAAGAUAGGACACAGAAACAAAUAGAGGAAAGAUCAUGUGAAGACAGAAAGAGAAAAUGGCCAAGUACAAGCCAAUGAGAGAGGCCUCAGAAGAAACCAAUCUUGCUGACACCUUCAUUUUGGACUCCUAGCCCUGAGAACAAAUAGAUGCCUGUAGUUGAAGUCAUCAGGCUGUGUUACUUUGUUAUGGCUCUCCUAGCAAAUCAAUACAGUGAUUACUACUCACAAUGUUUAUUUAAUAAAUAACAUUUGUACAUCCUGGUAUACA
rnacentral:lncRNA from 13 species